AGUUCGGAUUGGAGUCUGCAACUCGACUCCAUGAAGCUGGAUUCGCUAGUAAUCGCGCAUCAGCCAUGGCGCGGUGAAUACGUUCCCGGGCCUUGUACACACCGCCCGUCAAGCCAUGGGAGUCGGGAGUGCCUGAAGUUCGUGACCGUAUAGGAGCGACCUAGGGCAAGACUGAUGACUGGGGCUAAGUCGUAACAAGGUAUC
rnacentral:rRNA from 1 species